rnacentral:lncRNA from 1 species
CAUGUUUGCGCACACACGGAGAAAGACCCACAUGAGAAAGCUAUGUGUGCGUGGACUCAUGAACAUUUAUGGUGCAAAAGGCUGUACGAGGGAAAACGAAAAAAAAUUUUCUCAUGGCUCAUAGGUAUCCCCCUUCCACAUGGUCCAUGGUGGACCAAAGGCAAAGAGUGGUUCAUGGUGGACCGCAUGGAAGAUAAAAGGAUGGGUCCUGGAGCUUCAUGUGGAAAGAAGGCUGAGAGCGGCAUGAGGAUUUAAACAAUGCUGGGUGGCUAUCUUUUUUUAUUUGGUCCUUUUGAGCGGCGUGAAGGCUGCGCAUGGAAAGGAAAUGGGCUUGCGGCUAGAUCAAUGGACACGAACAGGUGGAGGAAAGAAACGCUACCAACGCAAUAAAAAAAAAAUGGAGAUGAGGCAGGAUCCAUAGGCGCAAUCCUUCACAUGGUAUACGAUGUGGAUGUUUGGUGACGGAAUAGGAG